rnacentral:rRNA from 1 species
AUUGAACGCUGGCGGCAGGCCUAACACAUGCAAGUCGAGCGAGCGGCGGACGGGUGAGUAAUGUAUGGGGAAUGCCAGAUAGCGGGGGAUAACUACUGGAAACGGUGGCUAAUAACGCAUACUAUCGGAUAACCCAGAUGGGAUUAGCUAGUAGGUGGGGUAAAGGCUCAACUAGGGGACGAUCUCUAGCUGGUCUGUGAGGAUGAUCAGCCACACUGGUACUGAGACACGGCCCAGACUCCGACGGAUGCAGAAGUGGGUAAGAUUGCGCAAUGGGCGCAAGCCUGAUGCAGCCAUGCGGCGGGUAUGAAGAAGUCCUUAGGGUUGUAAAGUACUGUCAGCGGGGAGGCGUUACCCGCAGAAGAAGCACCGGCUAACUCCGUGCCAGCAGCCGCGGUAAUUC